rnacentral:rRNA from 1 species
CCUACGGGGUGCAGCAGUAGGGAAUCUUCCGCAAUGGACGAAAGUCUGACGGAGCAACGCCGCGUGAGCGAAGAAGGCCUUCGGGUCGUAAAGCUCUGUUGUUAGGGAAGAACAAGUAACGCAGUAACUGGCGUUACCGUGACGGUACCUAACGAGAAAGCCACGGCUAACUACGUGCCAGCAGCCGCGGUAAUACGUAGGUGGCAAGCGUUGUCCGGAAUUAUUGGGCGUAAAGCGAGCGCAGGCGGUCUUUUAAGUCUGAUGUGAAAGCCCCCGGCUCAACCGGGGAGGGUCAUUGGAAACUGGGGAACUUGAGUGCAGAAGAGGAGAGUGGAAUUCCACGUAUAGCGGUGAAAUGCGUAGAGAUGUGGAGGAACACCAGUGGCGAAGGCGACUCUCUGGUCUGUAACUGACGCUGAGGAGCGAAAGCGUGGGGAGCGAACAGGAUUAGAUACCCGCGUAGUC